CACUUUGGACCCUCCUCGCUUCCCGUCCGCCCCAGGGGAGCGACCGGCGGCGGAGCCGCAGCUUCACCCGGAGGAGGCGGUGGCGGGACGCGAGCCCUGAGGCGGCCGAGCCGCUUCCUCCUCCUCCCUCCUCCUCCUCCUCUUCCUCCCCCCCAAGAUGGCGGCGGACCCCGCGGAUCAGUUCUGCGUGGCCGAGGAGCGCAGCGGCCACUGCGCCGUGGUGGACGGCAACUUUCUCUACGUGUGGGGCGGAUACGUGUCCAUUGAAGAAAAUGAAGUUUAUCUGCCCAGCGAUGAGCUCUGGAUCUAUGACAUGGACAGUGGGCUCUGGACAAUGCACCUGAUGGAAGGGGAGUUACCCACCUCCAUGUCAGGCAGCUGUGGGGCCAGCAUCAAUGGGAAGCUGUACAUUUUUGGGGGAUUUGAUGAUAAAGGAUACAGCAAUCGGCUGUAUUACGUCAAUUUGAGAACAAAAACCGGAACCUACAGGUGGAAAAAAAUCACAAAUUUUAAAGGUCAACCUCCCACACCCCGUGACAAACUUUCCUGCUGGGUGUACAAAAACAGGCUAAUUUAUUUUGGAGGUUAUGGCUGCAGGAAGCACAACGAGCUCAGUGAUUGUUUCGACGUCCACGAUGCAUUUUGGGAAGGGCAGAUAUUCUGGGGAUGGCACAAUGAUGUUCAUGUUUUUGAUACAACCACACAGACUUGGUCUCAACCAACAAUUCGAGGUGGAGAUCCACCUCAGCCUCGAGCAGCUCACACAUGUGCUGUGCUGGGAAAUAAAGGUUACAUCUUUGGAGGACGAGUGCUGUUCACCAUAAUACAAAUCUUCCCAGGGAAAAGGCUCUGCAAGGAACCAGAAAGGGCCAGGAAGUGUCAUGAGGCUUCUCCUAUUCAUCUUUCUGGGAGGAAAGGGCACCUUUUUCCAAACUUGGAGCUAGAACUGGUAAAAGAAGAUGAUGAUGAUGAUGGUGAUGAUGAUGAGAAUCAGUUGUACCAGGAAUCAUUUGAAAACAGGCUCAGAAGUGUUAUGUGGACUCAGUUCCUUCAGGGAGCAGGAAAGAGAAUUUCUCCAUCUUCUGCCCAAUGCCCAGGAAAGGAAAGUCAGCGAGGAGGUCUUGAACAGGAUCCUCUUGAAACCUUAAUUUUCACCAUAACAGCAACUUCCUUUGAUAGAUAUCCUUUAUAUCAAAUUGUGUUACUCCAACAUGAUUGAGUAUUUCCAGUUGUAGAGGCCAGGAUGUUGGGUUUGCCCCAAAUGUACAGAAGAUCCCAACUGCAUUUUGCUUUCAGCUUGGAUGAUUUGAUCCCCUCAUGCCCUUCAAAGGCACCAGGAGCAGUAGGAAACUGGAGAGAGGUGUCAUGGAAGACAGAUCUGUUCCCCUGGCUGUCAGCUGGACCACACUUGGUUGGUUUUAGGUUGUUUUGAGGCAAUGCCCCAAACCCUGACAAUCUGCUUGUCUUUAUCCUGUUGCCCUCCCCAAAAUGCUCUUCCCAUUCCCUUCCCAGCCCAGCAGGGUUAGCAGUGCUUGGCAGAGGAGGUUGUAGAAUUCCUGAAAUCCUUGCUGUUCCCUGAAAUCCCUGAGAGACUUCCCAGAGCUCUGCUGGGCAGCUCUGGGGGUCCCUCAGCCUCACUGCUGGGGUACAAGCACUCCUUUCAGCCUAGUUCUGCCUCAGAGGAUCUGCAAGCUGGAGAAAGGCUUUUUCUAAUAGAUCUAUGGACUGCCCAGGGAGAAAAGGAGUUGGAAGGUAAGGCAAGAAACAUUUCCCUACUUCCCAGAUGGUUUUUGUAGCUCCCAGGGGAAUCACAGCUCCCAGGCAAGCAAAGAAUUCCUUUUACCACCUUCUCCACCACCCCGAGGCAGGCAGAGACUUCCUCCAUCUCAAACCCCAGGCAGAUGAGCAAGAGGAAAGAUUUCCCAUUUUAUUUGAUGGCAAAUGCUUGCUGGUGGUCACUUUGUGAAAGGAAAACAGGGAAAAGCACAAAUGAUGGACAUUUCUGGGAAUACCCAGAGUGCAGCACUACCAGGAUACUCCAAGGAGUAGUGACCAGACAGGAGGAUCCAAACUUCUGAUCACAGUGUCAAGGAAAAUAACACCAGGCAACAAUAGGAGAGUAAAACACCUUCUGCAUUGCCCUGCCAGGAGUUCUGUGGAUGGAAAUUAAAAACAUUUGCAGGAACUGGAUAAAUCCCCACAAAGUUCUUCACUUUUAGAAGCUAAAAUUGGCCCCAUAGUGCUGUUGCAUGACUGGAAAUAUUUCUGCCAGGCACUUUCCUGAGAGUUGCAUGGUUUUUGUGAGGAGAAAAGCUUUUCAUCUGCCACAUAAUUCAGAUUUAUAUUAAGGCAAGUGGGUACAGAUUUCUUCAAACUAUUGGUACUUGGAAUAUUCUGUCCCAGGAAGGCCUCACUGAAAUAUUUUGUUUAUUGUUUGCUUAAAAUAACCCGAGUGGGAUUUUAUUUCUUUGUUUUAGCAAACCAGAAUGAAUGAUUUGCACUGCCUGAAUUUAGACACUUGGACUUGGUCUGGAAGGAUUAAUAUCAGUGGAGAGAAGCCCAGAGAUCGCUCCUGGCACACGCUGACCCCCAUAGGGGAUGACAGACUUUUCCUUUUUGGUGGACU